UGUAGAUAAAUAAGGAAAUAAAAUAAAACACAGGGAGCUGAACUCAAUUUAAAAAAAGUUUGAUUGUUGACACUGAAUUAGAAAAAACCCCGAUUAUAAUACUAAACGGAAUUAUCAGCCCAGUAACAUCAUUAAUAUAAGAUAUAAAGUAUAAAAUGGAUGUAAAAUAUUAUUUAUUUUACGUUUUUUGUCGUGCCGUUAAAAAAGAAACCGUUAAAAAUUGAAAUAAAGAUUUUUUAAACUAUAAUAUAUAACAUAGUUCUUAACUAUAAUACGUUAGUUUGUUUAUUUGUUUCUUCUAUUAACCCAGGACGACUUUAAGUACACGCUAAACGAGUAACAGCGUCACCAAUAAAUCAGACAACACCGCGUCUUCGAAUGAAGCGUUUUAUAUCAGAUUAAAAAACACAAGGAUUCGGGUCUACAUGAACAUGUUCACGCAGCGCUUAAAGAGAUCUCUUCAUGAAUCUUACAGCAUUCGACUCGGGGUCCAGCUGCAUCCGUCUUCUGUUCAUCAGCCUGCAACGUUCCGUUCAUUCAGAAAUAAUAAAUCAGGUCUUUAAUGCAUCAGGCACAGCGGCAGAGCUGACGCAGCAUCCCACAGAAAACCACAGUGUGUUCCGUCCUUCAUGACUUUUACAUCAUUUCACACCAGUGAAUAUGUUCUCACACACUCUCACACACACACACACACACACCUGUAGUUUUUAAGACUAACCCGUGAACCCCAGCUGGAAUUCCUGAAAUCUCCGGACUUCACACAGCCGUGUGUUGUCAGGUCAUUUCUGAUCUUCAUCACUGUUCUGAUAUCUUCAUGUGCAGGAGUCGUGUGUAAAUGUGUUUAAAUGCUGUGUGUCGUUUUCACAUUUCAUCUAAAAUUCCCCACCAGAUUUCUCCUUCACAUUCACACGUCCCUCUCUGAUUUUCUUCAGGAACACGAAUCAGCUGUAAAUAAAAAAAUAAUGUAAAAAAAAGUAUGUUGAUGGUACUGCUCAUUUGCAUUUUAACCACGCCCACAGAGCGCUAUAAACGCUCACAGAGAGAAAACAGUGGAAGAGCGCCCCCUAAAUCUUCCAGAAAUGCAGCUCAGCCACCGCAGCUCUCCCUCACACACACACACACACACACCCCAAUUCCUCCUGCUUUUACAGGGUGCCAUUACUUUUACCCUGAUUAUACUAGGGCUAGGGUUAUUUGUGUUAAUAUUUUUAUGGAUUUGUUUUAGAAUCACUUUCUUUCUUCAUUAGUAUGAAGCGACCGAGUUUCGCAAACGUUGAGUGAAAUAAAACUCUCUCACACACACUCUCACACACACACUCUCACACACACACUCUCACACACACUCACACACACACACACACACUCUCACACACACUCUCACACACACUCUCACACACUCUCACACACACUCUCACACACAGUCACACACACAGUCACACACACACUCUCACACACACACUCACACACACUCUCACACACACUCUCACACACACUCUCACACACACAGUCUCACACACACUCUCACACACACAGUCACACACACACUCUCACACACACUCUCACACACACUCUCACACACACAGUCACACACACAGUCACACACCACUCUCACACACACUCUCACACACACAGUCUCACACACACAGUCUCACACACACAGUCACACACACACUCACACACACUCUCACACACACAGUCUCACACACACAGUCUCACACACACAGUCACACACACUCUCACACACACUCUCACACACACUCUCACACACACUCUCACACAACACUCUCAGACACACUCUCACACACACAGUCUCACACACACAGUCUCACACACACAGUCUCACACACACACUCUCACACACACACUCUCACACAACACUCUCACACACUCACACACACUCACACACACUCUCACACACACACUCUCACACACACUGCUCACACACACAGACUCACACACACACUCUCACACACACUCUCACACACACUCUCACACACACUCUCACACACCCCUUCAUUAAUAAAUGUACCCACACACCUGAGGGAAAUGUCUGUGUGAUGAUUCUUUUCUAGUUAAAUUCUUAGUUUCGGUCGUGAGAUAACGUGUGCGCUGUGUCUAUCUUUUCCAGUUGCCUAGCAACAGUGUUCUCACAACUUUUCCAAGUUGAAUAGCGAGAAUAUUUUCAUGUUUGCGUUCACCUUAAACAGUUACGUCUUUGUACGCUCCCAUGAGUGUAGAAUACAGUAUGACAUCAUCGGCUAAUUUGCAUACUCAACCCUAAUCCAGUGGAAGUUCUACAGUUCCGGUCU
ensembl:lncRNA